UUUUUCUUUUAUGGGUAAUGCUUUAUGUGUCUUCUCUAAGAAAUAUUUACCUACCCCCGAGAUUAGAGAGAUCUUCUCUUGCGUUUUCCUCUAAGAUCUUUAUAGUUUUAGGUUUUGUCUUAAACUCCUUAAUUUUGAAUUAGUUUUUGUGUUAAGGGGACAAGUUUCCUUUUCUUCCCAUACAUUCACUAAUUGCUGUUCCAUUUCCUUUUGUGGAAAGACUUUCCUUUCCCCAUGUAGUUGUUUUGGUGCCUUUGUAAAGAUCACAUGACAUUAUAUAUAUGAGCCUGUUUCUGAAAUCACUCCUCUAUUUUAAUGAUCUAUUUGCCUAGCCCUAUGCCCUAUGCCAAUAACACAGUGCCUUGAUCACUGUAGCUUUAUACUAACUCACAUAAGGAGGAAGUGUAAGUCCUCCAACUUCUUUAAUCUUUUUCAAAAUUGUUUUAGCUGCCUUAGACUCUUAUAUUUCUAUACAGAUUUUAGAAUCAGCCUUUCAACUUCUACAAAUAAGCCUGUUACAAUUUCUGAUAAAGAUUAUGCUAAAUUUAUUAAAAAUUUGUAAGAAUUGACAUCUUAGAAAUAUUGAGUCUUUCAGUCAUUAACAUAUCUCUCCAUUUAUAUAGGUCUUAAAAUUUCUCUCAAAAAUGUUUUGUGGUUUGCAGUGUGGAGGUUUCAUAUACAUUUAAUUAAAGGUUUCCCCCAAAAUUUUAUUAUUUUAUGCUGUUAUAAAGCAUACUGUUU
rnacentral:lncRNA from 10 species